GGGCCCGUAGCUCAGUGGUAAUUUCGUGAGAAGCAGAUAUAAUCUGCUUCAAUCGCUGAAGAGUGCUCGGCUCGCAUCCGAGAGGCCUCGGGUUCGAAUCCCGACGGGUCCA
rnacentral:tRNA from 1 species